rnacentral:misc_RNA from 1 species
GAUGAAGAACGUAGCGAAAUGCGAUAAGUAAUGCGAAUUGCAGAAUCCGUGAGUCAUCGAAUCUUUGAACGCACAUUGCGCCCGCUAGUAUUCUGGCGGGCAUGCCUGUUCGAGCGUCAUUUCAACCAUCAAGCCCUAGGCUUGCGUUGGAGCCCUGCGGCUGCCGCAGGCUCCCAAAUCCAGUGGCGGGCUCGUCGUCGUACCGAGUGCAGUAAACAUCCUCGCUCAGGGAACGUGACGGGUUCUUGCCGUGAAACCCCCCACAUAUCAAGGUUGACCUCGGAUCAGGUAGGAAUACCCGCUGAACUUAAGCAUAUCAAUAAGCGGAGGA